AGCGUUGAAACACCGCUUCAUACGAUCACUGAAGUUAAGCAACGUUGCGCCUGGUCAGUUCCUAGAUCGGUAACCGCUUGGGAAUAACAGUUGCUGUAAG